AUUGAACGCUGGCGGCAUGCUUUACACAUGCAAGUCGAACGGUAACAGGUUAAGCUGACGAGUGGCGAACGGGUGAGUAAUGCAUCGGAACGUGCCCGAUCGUGGGGGAUAACACUUCGAAAGAAGUGCUAAUACCGCAUACGAUCUGAGGAUGAAAGCGGGGGACCGUAAGGCCUCGCGCGAUCGGAGCGGCCGAUGUCAGAUUAGGUAGUUGGUGGGGUAAAGGCCUACCAAGCCGACGAUCUGUAGCUGGUCUGAGAGGACGACCAGCCACACUGGGACUGAGACACGGCCCAGAGUCCUACGGGAGGCAGCAGUGGGGAAUUUUGGACAAUGGGCGCAAGCCUGAUCCAGCAAUGCCGCGUGCAGGAAGAAGGCCUUCGGGUUGUAAACUGCUUUUGUACGGAGCGAAAAGGCUCUCUCUAAUACAGGGGGCUGAUGACGGUACCGUAAGAAUAAGCACCGGCUAACUACGUGCCAGCAGCCGCCGUAA
rnacentral:rRNA from 1 species